GACGAACGCUGGCGGCGUGCUUAACACAUGCAAGUCGAACGAUGAACCCGAGCUUGCUCUGGGGAUUAGUGGCGAACGGGUGAGUAACACGUGGGCAACCUGCCCCAGACACCGGGAUAACCAUUCGAAAGGAUGGCUAAUACCGGAUACGACCACUUCGGGCAUCCGAUGGUGGUGGAAAGGAUUCUGGUCUGGGAUGGGCCCGCGGCCUAUCAGCUUGUUGGUGGGGUAAUGGCCUACCAAGGCGACGACGGGUAGCCGGCCUGAGAGGGCGACCGGCCACACUGGGACUGAGACACGGCCCAGACUCCUACGGGAGGCAGCAGUGGGGAAUAUUGCGCAAUGGGCGAAAGCCUGACGCAGCGACGCCGCGUGAGGGACGAAGGUCUUCGGAUUGUAAACCUCUUUCAGCAGGGAUGAAGCGAAAGUGACAGUACCUGCAGAAGAAGCACCGGCUAACUACGUGCCAGCCGCCGCGGUAACAC
rnacentral:rRNA from 1 species